ACUGUGUUAAAAGGAACAAUAUUAGAGUUUUUGACCAGAGUGACUGAGGAGCUCACAGGAGUACAGGGUGUAUAAGUCCCACCAAAGAUUCCAUGUGCCUUGGGACUGCCCCAUCCCAUUGGGAAUUCCAGUCUGGCUUCUUGGCAAUGGGUGCCUGGGCAACAGAGCAACAGAGCAACAGAGCAAGGUGGAGGAGAGAAGCCCUCCUGGUACCCAUCCCCACACCAGCAAGAGGGAGCGCCAGACUCACAGCCUACCAUCCCCUCCAGCCCCAGCCCACCUGACCUACAUCAGCCACCUUCUGAUUGAUUCUGUUUUUUCCUGGGGAAAAGGCCAAAAAGCCAUCUAGGCCUCAACCCCAGCAUCUCUGAACCUCUGACCCAGCCCUGGACUUCCCAAUUUCAGACUUCUUUCAGCUCCUGCUUCUUCGUCACAGGUACACCAGGGCAUCCAGCACAUUGAUUUGUCCCCACUCGCCUUAGCCUGUCUCCUGCCACAGUUGUCUCAUUUUGGUGAAGUGCGUGUCCAGGUUUCCCCGUGCUCCCAGCUGCAACAUGGAUCUGUGAAAGACAGUACAGCAGAAAAGUCUUCACAUCCUGGCUCUCUCUGCCCUUCAUUGUCUUUAAGCUCUUUAACAACUUUUACUUGGAGAGGAAAACAACUCUCUAGACAGGAACACGGAGCAGCAGAGGGAGAAAUUGUGUCUUUACUGAUUUCAGUCAAUUAUUGCAGUGACCACAUGUCUCAGGAGUGUUGAUGUCCAGAUGAGGGCUGACCCAUGAAAGGUCAGCAAGGAAAAAGGAGGACCUAAACUUUCCUCGGUUUGCAAGUUGUAAAAGACCCAUGGAAUGCCAACUAUCCUUGUCCAUGGACAUGUGGACAGACUGUCCAGUGGCUAUCAUCAAUUUUGCAUCUAUUUGUAAAUUCUAUGUCAGCAUUCCUAUUGUCCUAGCUAUGCGUGGCAUUUUUAAUUCUCCUUUGGGCUGGUUGUAGCAUCUUACUGGUUCCCUCAUUAAUUAAUGAACUAAAUAAAAUCUUUGACAUGUGUUCAUUUUA